CCUACGGGAGGCUGCAGUAAGGAAUAUUGGUCAAUGGAGGAAACUCUGAACCAGCCAUCCCGCGUGAAGGAUGAAGGGGCUCUGCCUUGUAAACUUCUUUUGUCUGGGGCGAAAAAGCUCGAUUUAUCGAGAACUGACGGUACCAGAAGAAUAAGCACCGGCUAACUCCGUGCCAGCAGCCGCGGUAAUACGGAGGGUGCCGGCGUUAUCCGGAAUAACGGGGGCGAAAGGGGGCUAAGGUGGCUUAGUUGAAAGGCUGUGGCUUAACCAUGGAAUUGCCAUUGAUACUGCAGAGCUUGAAUGAGGUUGAGGUUGGCGGAAUGUGACAUGUAGCGGUGAAAUGCUUAGAUAUGUCAUGGAACACCGAUUGCGAAGGCAGCUGACUGGACCUAUAUUGACGCUGAGGCACGAAAGCGUGGGGAGCGAACAGGAUUAGAUACCCCAGUAGUC
rnacentral:rRNA from 1 species